rnacentral:rRNA from 1 species
UACGAAGGGGGCUAGCGUUGCUCGGAAUCACUGGGCGUAAAGCGCACGUAGGCGGAUUGUUAAGUCAGGGGUGAAAUCCUGGAGCUCAACUCCAGAACUGCCUUUGAUACUGGCGAUCUCGAGUCCGGGAGAGGUGAGUGGAACUGCGAGUGUAGAGGUGAAAUUCGUAGAUAUUCGCAAGAACACCAGUGGCGAAGGCGGCUCACUGGCCCGGUACUGACGCUGAGGUGCGAAAGCGUGGGGAGCAAAC